rnacentral:tRNA from 1 species
GCGGAAGUAGUUCAGUGGUAGAACACCACCUUGCCAAGGUGGGGUCGCGAGUUCGAACCUCGUCUUCCGCUCCA